GSSGYRMAMMAWMGKGCUYCCMYUCCGRACCUGUUWUSCCYGCUCGCCCCGGCCGMCAGGGGUGAUGGAUAUSUUUYKCARRRMACCCUUAGAGUUUGAUCCUGGCUCAGAACGAACGCUGGCGGCGUGCUUAACACAUGCAAGUCGAACGUGAUCCAGAGCUUGCUCUGGUGAAAGUGGCGCACGGGUGAGUAACGCGUGGAUAACCUGCCCUGGUAUCUGGGAUAACAUCUCGAAAGGGGUGCUAAUACCGGAUAAGCCUACGGGCUCUUCGGAGUCUGCAGGAAAAGGAGACCUCUAUUUAUAAGCUUCCGUAUCAUGAUGGGUCCGCGUACCAUUAGCUAGUUGGUGGGGUAAUGGCCUACCAAGGCGACGAUGGUUAGCUGGUCUGAGAGGAUGAUCAGCCACACUGGAACUGAGACACGGUCCAGACUCCUACGGGAGGCAGCAGUGGGGAAUUUUGCGCAAUGGGGGAAACCCUGACGCAGCAACGCCGCGUGAGUGAUGAAGGCUUUCGGGUCGUAAAGCUCUGUCAGAGGGGAAGAAAUGGGUCGUGCUAAUAUCACGGCUUCUUGACGGUACCCUCAAAGGAAGCACCGGCUAACUCCGUGCCAGCAGCCGCGGUAAUAC
rnacentral:rRNA from 1 species